CGCGUAGGUGGUUCGAUUAGUCGGAGGUGAAAUCCCUCGGCUCAACCGAGGACCCGCGUCCGAUACUGUCGAACUUGAGUGCAGGAGAGGAGAGCGGAAUUCCCAGUGUAGCGGUGAAAUGCGUAGAUAUUGGGAGGAACACCGGUGGCGAAGGCGGCUCUCUGGACUGCUACUGACACUGAGGCGCGAAAGCUAGGGGAGCAAACGGGAUUAGAUACCCCGGUAGUCCUAGCCGUAAACGAUGGGCACUAGGUGUGGGAGGUAUCGACCCCUUCCGUGCCGCAGCUAACGCAUUAAGUGCCCCGCCUGGGGAGUACGGCCGCAAGGUUGAA
rnacentral:rRNA from 1 species